UGAUAGAGUUUCUUUCAACCUCUCCUAUUAUUGAAAGACUUAACUUUUUGUUGAUUUAGGAGCCAUGAGCAAAAAAUUUAACGAUGUUUCGACAACAUAUCUCUCGACGAUGUUAAAGGUCGUUGAUAAAGAAAGGGAAUAUGCCAGUGAAGUGUAGGUGAAAAGAAGGGUAUGACGACGGCGUAGGUCAACAACGAAAGCUCCAAGAAAAGAAGAGGGUAGCUGCAAAAGAAAUUGCCCAACAAAUUAAUGGAAAAAGAACUCCAUAGUCCAAGCUUUUCAGUUGAUCAUUCACUUGUAUACUUGGUGUCUUCAGAGUAAAUUGCUUCUUCUUCUCUUCCAUGAUGAUCAUCUCGAUCCGCACUCAGCUGAGACGCAACGAAUCGGUCCAUGGCUCGCCAAUCCAUCGAUUGGUUAUCAAAAGCAUGAAAGAAUGUUUGAGAGGAGGAGGGGGUACUGUUUGCUCGGAGAUGAUCAUAGCUGCUUGACGAGAUGUCAGAGAUCAGCUCGGGACGUCGUGGGAGCUGAGGGGAAGCAUCAUCGAACAUGGCGAAGUGAAGAUGAUGAUGAUCAUCAACCUCAUGCUUGCAGAGGUGAGAGAUUUGAUUUGGAGAAUCAAUGUCUGGCAUGAAGGACAUUUGAUCAUGAUCUUGCCAAUAAGGUGAUUCAUAAUCACCCAUCUUUUGGAUUGCUGUCAUUUUCUUCUUGAAAACCCUACACACCACCCAUCCUUCUUCCUGAAUAGAAAUAAUUCAGACAUUAAAAAGAUGAAAAACAUCAUAUAACCCAUUAGAUUUACGUGUUCCGGACAUGUGUUUAAUUAAAUCGUCGUUAAUAUUAACUAA